rnacentral:rRNA from 1 species
GAUGAACGCUAGCGGCAGGCCUAAUACAUGCAAGUCGAACGGUGUAGCAAUACACAGUGGCGCACGGGUGCGUAACACGUAUGCAACCUACCUAUUAUUUGGGGAUAGCCUUUGGAAACGGAGAUUAAUACCGCAUAAGACCGUGAAAUGGCAUCAUGUAGCUGUUAAAGCUUUGGCGAUAAUAGAUGGGCAUGCGUCCAAUUAGUUAGUUGGUGAGGUAAUGGCUCACCAAGACGAUGAUUGGUAGGGGAUCUGAGAGGAUAAUCCCCCACACUGGCACCGAGAUAAGGGCCAGACUCCUACGGGAGGCAGCAGUAGGGAAUAUUGGGCAAUGGACGGAAGUCUGACCCAGCCAUGCCGCGUGCAGGAUGACGGCGUUAUGCGUUGUAAACUGCUUUUUUAUAGGAAGAAGAAGCCCUUGCGAGGGAAAGUGACGGUACUAUAAGAAUAAGCACCGGCUAACUCCGUGCCAGCCGCCGCAGUAAUAC